UACGUAGGGUGCAAGCGUUGUCCGGAAUUAUUGGGCGUAAAGAGCUCGUAGGCGGUCUGUUGCGUCGGCUGUGAAAACCCGGGGCUCAACUCCGGGCCUGCAGCCGAUACGGGCAGACUAGAGUUCGGCAGGGGAGGACUGGAAUUCCAUGGUGUAGCGGUGAAAUGCGCAGAUAUCAGGAGGAACACCGGUGGCGAAGGCGGGUCUCUGGGCCGAUACUGACGCUGAGGAGCGAAGCGUGGGGAGCGAACAGG
rnacentral:rRNA from 1 species